AUUCAACUGACGAGUCUCAAAUAGGACGAAACGUGCGUCCUGGAU
rnacentral:hammerhead_ribozyme from 1 species